rnacentral:lncRNA from 1 species
UCAGUAGGCAUCUUUGUACCCCUUUUUUCUCUCAUGCCCUUUGGCAUGGAUAUUAUAUAUUUUUCCAUUCUUUUUUUCUUUAUGUAUAUAGCCCAAAUUCUUUUUGAAAGAUAUUAGAGCACAUGAAUGGAGUAUUUAUUAUUUUUGGUGGAUGGAUAGCAUGUUUUUGCGCAACUGUCAGUGUGAGAGUUAGCAUUUUUAUUUCUGAGUGCACGUAAAUCUUGAUCAUGGGUGCAUAACAAGUAUCUCAACAAGGGUUAUAUCAAUUUGACAAAGCUCAAUGUAAAUACAAGCAGCAUAAGACUAAGAUUUAGAAUUUAAAUAUUGUAAUAUGGCUAUGGUAGGAAUUUUAUAACCAUUGAAGAACAUGUAAUUUUUUAAAUUUUUGAAAAGAAAAUUCUGGGUGUCAAGUUUUUCUUUAGAACUAAGUCAUAGCAUAAUCCAUUCAGCAUAUUAUAACUUGCAACAACUUAGAAAAGGAUCAUACUUUUGCAACCCACAAGUUUCUCAAGUCUUAGGUUAAGACAUUUUUAGCCAACAA